UCGGUUCACCUUUGACAAGCAGAGAGCUAGAGCUAAGGAAUUAAUGAGGAAAAGGAGAAUAAGAGAGAGCUAAGGUUGGUGUGUAGGGUUUUUCAGGGGAGAAAAGGUUGAUCCUUGGUCCCUCGUUCACUAGGGAUCACCCAUUGCCUUGUAGUGUUGCAUAACCAACAAUGCAAUGUCCUUUAAGGUUGUCUGUGCUAGUCAGGUGCUAGGGUCGUUACAAGUCAGUUGUCACCAUAUAGGGUAUUGUGUGGUCUUGCUUUGACAUUCUCGUCCUGAAGGUUGUACGAGAUUGUUAUGCCUUGGUGG
rnacentral:lncRNA from 1 species